AGGACGAACGCUGGCGGCGUGCUUAACACAUGCAAGUCGAGCGGAAAGGCCCUUCGGGGUACUCGAGCGGCGAACGGGUGAGUAACACGUGAGCAACCUGCCCUUAGCUCUGGGAUAGCUCCGGGAAACCGGAAUUAAUACCGGAUAUGACCUAGGCCGACAUCGGCCGUGGUGGAAAGUUUUUCGGCUAGGGAUGGACUCGCGGCCUAUCAGCUAGUUGGUGGGGUAAUGGCCUACCAAGGCGACGACGGGUAGCCGGCCUGAGAGGGCGACCGGCCACACUGGGACUGAGACACGGCCCAGACUCCUACGGGAGGCAGCAGUGGGAAUCUUGCGCAAUGGGCGAAAGCCUGACGCAGCGACGCCGCGUGGGGGAUGGAAGGCCUUCGGGUUGUAAACCCCUUUCAGCAGGGACGAAGCGAAAGUGACGGUACCUGCAGAAGAAGCGCCGGCUAACUACGCGCCAGCAGCCGC
rnacentral:rRNA from 1 species